GGCAAAUGCAGUGCUGUGUGAGGUAGCCAGCUUUGCUACAACUUCACUCUUGGUGCCAGCACAAGAGGAGGAAAAUCUAUUCCCUCUCCUAGUUAGUCUCCUGAAUGAAGUCAUAGUCCAACAACAGGAGGAUCCAACUGUAACAAUCUGCCAGGGAAUAGUUAUCUUUAGUCUUGCAAUUUCCCAAUGUAGUCAUCUCGUUAACCUGGCAAGACACUAUGUCUACAUACUAUGGCCACUGACAUACAAGCAUUGAAACAAUGAUAACCUGUGACAGAAGAAAAAAGAGAUGGUAGGUAACUAGAGUGCUGAUGCCAAAAGCAGCAGGGGGGUUAGAUAGGUUGAGUCAGGGAAUUCCUACAGUUGUGCAGAUUGGCCCUGGAAGGAACUAAGAUAGGGAGGGAUUAUUUCUCCAUUGCCAUAGCAGCCACUAAAUCAUACUCAGCAGAAUUAUUCUGAACGGCCAUCCGUCUUGUAAACUCAUGUUUAAGAGCAGAACAUGGCUCAGAGAUUACACUAGUUGCACAGCAAAACACUUCCUCUAGCCAUGGAAAGAACAAUACUCAGACUACUGGAUCUCACAGAUCUCACAGCUGCAUUCAACACAUUUGCUCAUGAGACACUACUGAUUCCAGGAUGAAAGGAAUGCUUGCAGCUGGCUCCGAUAUUUUUUUCACUGACUAAUUUCUAAAGAGCCUAAUAGAACCUCAGUCUCCAGACUCUCCCCAUGCAGCAGGGCCGGCUUCAGGCACCAGCCCAGCAAGCAGGUGCUUGUGGCGGUCAAGGGGAAGGGGCGGCAUGUUGGGCUCUUCGGUGGCAAUUCAGCAGCGGGUCCCUUGGUCCCUCGGAGGGAAGGACCGGCCGCUGAAUUGCCACCGAAGAAGGAAGCGGUGCGGUGGAGAUGCCGCCGAUCGUGAUUUCCCCCCCCUCCCACCGCUGCUUGGGGCAGCAAAAACCGUGGAUCUGGCCCUGCCGUGCAGUACCACCAGUCGCUAUAUGCUCUCCCUCUGACACACUUGUAAAGCUGCCAAGAGAGCUCAUGAGGCAGCACCACACCCUCCUUCAGUUGGCCUAGAGCCUGAGUACAUUAGAGCCUGGAUGACAAGCACUUGGUUGAAACUAAGUCUGGGUAAGAUGGAGGUGGAAACAGUUUGAGAAAGUAGCCAAUGAGCCACUUUCUAAUGAGGACAUCUGCCCCAGAUUGUCAAUAAAGCACACAGCCGUAGAUAUUCCUGGACUCCUUAUUGCCACUAGUUACUCAGACCAUUAGAAACUCCAUCAUGUGUCUAUGAUAUCAUCUCCUAGCUAAAGUGAGAUAUAAAAUCAUGGCUUCAUGCAACACACAGUUCCUAGGACUGAAAAUAGGGAUUCUGAGGCUAUGUCUGCAAUACCGCAGUAAGUCAACCUAAGUUAUGCAACUACAGCUACGUGAAUAAUGUAGCUGGAGUCGACGUAGCUUAGGUCAAUGUAUAGUGGGGCCUACACCAUGCUGGGUCAACGGGAGACACUCUCCCAUCAACUUAUCUUACUCCUCUCAUUCCAGGUGGAGUACCGGGGCCGACUGGAAAAUGCUCUGCCGUUGAAUUAGCAGAUUUUCACUGGACCCACUAAAUCAACCCCUGAUGCAUCAGUUGUCGCAGCAUCAACCCCGCGAAAAAGGAAGAAAAUUAGAAGUCCUAUCUACUGACGUCUAGUGCAAGCACAUUUUCACAAUCUACAACCCCCUGAAAAAAACAACAACCCACCACAAUUAAGGUAAAACCAGAUUUCUAGAGGAGAGGAGAGUGGAAAAUCUCCAGAAGGGGAUCAAAGAAACAGAGGUGUUGGUGAAGGCCUUUAAAAACACAGAAGCAGAGAAGUUCAAGGAAAGGAAGAAGAGGGAAUGCUUCCUCAGUAAAAGGGAAUCUUUUGAGUGCUGGACCAGUCGAAACUGAAGGAAGCUGGCUGUCGGGGUUAGACAGGAGGCUCCACAAUCUGGCGGAGAAGUCAUGAGCUGGAGGAGUGAGGACCUGGAACUCUGAAAGGACACUGACCAAAUCCCAAAGACUGUUCAGGAGUGGUGAGGAAACUGAGGCAGGGAAUGAACACAGGUGUUUUAUUGGAUUGCCUAGAGCUGUGCAUGUGCUGUCUAUGAGGAAAGCAUAUUUUGUUUUAGAAAUUCCUCUGAAAAGUCAGUCUAUUUGCUUCUACUAUCUUGUAUCUCUGAAGGGGUAAACUAUAAACCAGAGUGCCCACAAGGGUGACAUUCUGGGAAGGUUGUGUUUAAACUACUGUGGAGUCUUGGAGGUUCAGCACUGGUCUUGGGGCCUAGGGACCAAGAGGUCCCACUUCCAAUGAGGGUCUCUGCCAUUGGAGUCAGCUGAGUAGCCAAAGUAAGAGAGAGUGCCUGGAGCCGCUCAGUUCCUGGGGAGCUCAGAAGCACACAACUCCAGUGUAUGGGUCCAAACCUGGCACCCUAGUGAAUGUCCAGCAGGGGAACUUGACUGGGGUUGGGACAUCACGUAGUGCUAUAUUUUAAACAUUUUCAGACAAACACUGAAAAAGGCAGAGACAAUUGGGUGACAGAUAAGCACAUUCAGUUUCUCAAAUAGCCUCCUUGGUUCUAGUGGCCUAUAGUUUUUUUAACCUGAAUGUAUGUUAAUAUAUGGAGCUAUACCUAUAUCAUAGAACUGGAAGGGACCCUGAAAGGUCAUUGAGUCCGGCCCCCUGCCUUCAUUAGCAGGACCAAGUACUGAUUUUGCCCCAGGUCCCUAAGUGACCCCCUCAAGGUUUGAACUCACAACCCUGGGUUUAGCAGGCCAAUUCUCAAACCACUGAUGGACGAAUGUAUGUUGUCAGCAACCUGACCUACCCCGAUGCCCAGAGUCGAGAAUUUAAAUCAUGCAUAAUUCUUUUGUUUAAUCCAGGGAACUGAGCAUUGUUCUGAAAUCUUUUGUUUUCAUAAAUACAGUUGAUAGCUAAUUCAAGAUUUGGAUUUUAGCAGCAAUUCCACUACUGCUUUACUAAUAUUUCAUCAUGUCAAUAUUUAUUUGUAAUGCAGUCCUCAAAACCCGGUAUUAGAUAAAGUUAUUCUG